rnacentral:rRNA from 1 species
GAUGAACGCUAGCGACAGGCUUAACACAUGCUAGUCGAGGGGCAGCAUAAAAGUAGCAAUACUUUGGUGGCGACCGGCGCACGGGUGAGUAACGCGUAUGCAACCUACCUAUCAGAGGGGAAUAACCCGGCGAAAGUCGGACUAAUACCGCAUAAAACAGGGGCACCGCAAGGUGAUAUUUGUUAAAGAAAUUCGCUGAUAGAUGGACAUGCGUUCCAUUAGGUAGUUGGUGAGGUAACGGCUCACCAAGCCGACGAUGGAUAGGGGAACUGAGAGGUUGGUCCCCCACACUGGUACUGAGACACGGACCAGACUCCUACGGGAGGCAGCAGUGAGGAAUAUUGGUCAAUGGGCGAGAGCCUGAACCAGCCAAGUCGCGUGAAGGAAGAAGGAUCUAUGGUUCGUAAACUUCUUUUGCAGGGGAAUAAAGUGCGGGACGUGUCCUGUUUUGUAUGUACCCUGAGAAUAAGGAUCGGCUAACUCCGUGCCAGCAGCCGCCGUAA